GGCAAGUUGAUUUUGAAUUAUUUUAAACUUUGAUAGUCAAGAAAUUUUAUUUUAUCUAUUAGUUCUUCAAGAUUUUAAAUUGAAAAGUUUAUGAAAAAUCGGGGUGUUACACUGACUGUCGAUGAUUGCUGAACGGUGAUGUUCUGGAGCCAACCUUUCUUCUUUCUUUAUUUCUUUCUCUUUUUUUUUUUUCUCCUUUUUUAAACCUGAGAGGUUGUGGAGCC
rnacentral:lncRNA from 1 species